rnacentral:rRNA from 1 species
CAAACUUGGUCAUUUAGAGGAAGUAAAAGUCGUAACAAGGUCUCCGUUGGUGAACCAGCGGAGGGAUCAUUACAGAGUUGCAAAACUCCCUAAACCAUUGUGAACGUUACCUAUACCGUUGCUUCGGCGGGCGGCCCCGGGGUUUACCCCCCGGGCGCCCCUGGGCCCCACCGCGGGCGCCCGCCGGAGGUCACCAAACUCUUGAUAAUUUAUGGCCUCUCUGAGUCUUCUGUACUGAAUAAGUCAAAACUUUCAACAACGGAUCUCUUGGUUCUGGCAUCGAUGAAGAACGCAGCGAAAUGCGAUAAGUAAUGUGAAUUGCAGAAUUCAGUGAAUCAUCGAAUCUUUGAACGCACAUUGCGCCCGCCAGCAUUCUGGCGGGCAUGCCUGUUCGAGCGUCAUUUCAACCAUCAAGCCCCCGGGCUUGUGUUGGGGACCUGCGGCUGCCGCAGGCCCUGAAAAGCAGUGGCGGGCUCGCUGUCGCACCGAGCGUAGUAGCAUACAUCUCGCUCUGGUCGCGCCGCGGGUUCCGGCCGUUAAACCACCUUUUUAACCCAAGGGUUGACCUCGGAUCAGGUAGGAAGACCCGCUGAACUUAAGCAUAUCAAUAAGCGGAGGA